UGCCUUAUGAAUUUAUAUAAGGUUAAACCUGCUCACUGAAUAUUUAAAGAGCCGCAGUACCUUGACUGUGCUAAGGUAGCAUAAUAAAUUGACUUUUAAUUGGGGCCUUGAAUGAAAGGAUAAUUGGGUAAUUUCUGUCUUAUUUUAAUUUAAUUAAACUUACUUAAAAGGUGAAAAUUCCUUUAAAUAGAUAAUAGACGAGAAGACCCUAGGAGUUUAUAAUAUUUUGUUGGGGCGACAAUGUAACACAUAUAAACUUACAUUUAAAAUUUAAAAUUUAACGAGUUAACUAAUUAAAAUUAAACUACCCUAGGGAUAACAGCAUAAUUAUAAUUUUAGUUUGUGACCUCGAUGUUGGACUAGGGACUUUUAAAGCUAACAGCGUUAAUUGGCAGUUCUGUUCGAACUUUGUUACCUACA
rnacentral:rRNA from 1 species